GUGAUCAUACCUGCACUAAUGCAUUGGAUCUUAUUAGAACUCUGUAGUUUAGCAUGCUUGGGUGAGAGUAGUAUUUGGAUGGUUGAUCCCUUGAGAAGUCCUUGUUGCAUCCUU